rnacentral:rRNA from 1 species
CAUGGGGGUGUGUGGAAAGUUUUUUCGGUUCAGGAUGUGCUCGCGGCCUAUCAGCUUGAUGGUGAGGUAAUGGCUCACCAUGGCUUCGACGGGUAGCCGGCCUGAGAGGGUGACCGGCCACACUGGGACUGAGACACGGCCCAGACUCCUACGGGAGGCAGCAGUGGGGAAUAUUGGACAAUGGGCGGAAGCCUGAUCCAGCAACGCCGCGUGAGGGAUGACGGCCUUCGGGUUGUAAACCUCUUUCAGUACCGACGAAGCGCAAGUGACGGUAGGUACAGAAGAAGCACCGGCCAACUACGUGCCAGCAGCCGCGGUAAUACGUAGGGUGCGAGCGUUGUCCGGAAUUAUUGGGCGUAAAGGGCUCGUAGGCGGUUUGUCGCGUCGGGAGUGAAAACGCCGUGCUUAACACGGCGCUUGCUUUCGAUACGGGCAGACUGGAGGUAAGCAGGGG